CCUACGGGAGGCAGCAGUGGGGAAUAUUGGGCAAUGGGCGCAAGCCUGACCCAGCAACGCCGCGUGAAGGAAGAAGGCUUUCGGGUUGUAAACUUCUUUUCUCAGGGACGAAGCAAGUGACGGUACCUGAGGAAUAAGCCACGGCUAACUACGUGCCAGCAGCCGCGGUAAUACGUAGGUGGCAAGCGUUAUCCGGAUUUACUGGGUGUAAAGGGCGUGUAGGCGGGAAAGCAAGUCAGAUGUGAAAACCAUGGGCUCAACCUGGGGCCUGCAUUUGAAACUGUUUUUCUUGAGUACUGGGGAGGCAGACGGAAUUCCUAGUGUAGCGGUGAAAUGCGUAGAUAUUAGGAGGAACACCAGGGGCGAAGGCGGUCUGCUGGACAGCAACUGACGCUGAGGCGCGAAAGCGUGGGGAGCAAACGGGAUUAGAUACCCCAGUAGUC
rnacentral:rRNA from 1 species